GAUGAACGCUGGCGGCGUGCCUAAUACAUGCAAGUCGAACGAAACUUCUUUAUCGCCGAGUGCUUGCACUCACCGAUACAGAGUUGAGUGGCGAACGGGUGAGUAACACGUGGGCAACCUGCCCAAAAGAGGGGGAUAACACUUGGAAACAGGUGCUAAUACCGCAUAACCAUAGUUACCGCAUGGUAACUAUGUAAAAGGUGGCUAUACUACCGCUUUUGGAUGGGCCCGCGGCGCAUUAGCUAGUUGGUAGGGUAAAGGCUUACCAAGGCAAUGAUGCGUAGCCGAAUUGAGAGGUUGAUCGGCCACAUUGGGACUGAGACACGGCCCAAACUCCUACGGGAGGCAGCAGUAGGGAAUCUUCCACAAUGGGCGAAAGCCUGAUGGAGCAACGCCGCGUGGGUGAAGAAGGUCUUCGGAUCGUAAAACCCUGUUGUUAGAGAAGAAAGUGCGUGAGAGUAACUGUUCACGUUUCGACGGUAUCUAACCAGAAAGCCACUGCUAACUACGUG
rnacentral:rRNA from 1 species